UGCAGUGGCGCUAUCUUGGCUCACUGCAAGCUCCGCCUCCCAGGUUCACGUCAUUCUCCUGCCUCAGCCCCCCAAGUAGCUGGGACUACAGGUGACCGCCACCGUGCCUGGCUAAUUUUUUAUAUUUUUAGUAGAGACAGGGUUUCACCGUGGUCUCAAUCUGCUGACCUCGUGAUCUGCCUGCUUUGGCCUCCCAAAGUGCUGAGAUUACAGGCAUGAGUCACUAUGCCCGGCCUUUAUGCUGAGUUUUAAGGGCUGUGUCAGACACCAGGUGGUGGGAGGGAGCUGUUUUGAGAGCAGGGAAUUUAGGAUACUUAGGAAAUUAGAAAAUUAGAGAAGUCAUAGGAUCUUGGAACUAAGGAAGAACCUUAGAGUCCUGUAGAGCAGAACCCAGCAUUUGUAUGUGGAGAAACGGAGGCCCAGAGAAGUUGUGACUUAUCCGGGUCAUUCUGCAGGUCUGGGUGUCCCACCCGAGUCCAUGUCAGGGCUCUUUCUGCACACCAAGCCCCAUGCCCACCUCUGUGUGACUGGCUGUGGUGGGAGGGUCCUCCUAGGCUAGAGGUGCUGGGAUCCCUUUUCAGUCCAGAAAUAAUGAGCUUAGAGGGCCUGGAAGUAGCAUGGACUAAAACCCAGGAAGGAUCACGGGGACUGUUGAUGCCAGUGAGGACUCCAGGAAGCCGCUGUCGGGACAGCCCUGCUUUGGGAGUCUGAGGUUCCAGGAAACCCCAGGAAUCCAGAUUCUCAUCCCUGAGACCUACUCAGGACUAGCUCAAGGGACCGAGCUAGGAAACCUGCUUGAAGUGGUAGAGGCAGCCAGGGGUGCACAGCAAUCCAGGCAGGCUUCGAUCAGUUCCAGGUUGAUUGCUUCUCCAAACUGGCUCCAAGACAGGCAUGUAGCUCAAGUUGGUCUGGACUCAAUCCCGGGACUUUAGGACUUUUGCUAGAAAUCUGGUGUGGUGUAAGAGCGGAUUCACUCUGUGGGCUGCUUGGACUCAGAUUCCCCCAGGACUAGAGGCUGCUUCUCCUUGGUGGGAGGAGUUACAAUCUUGCAAGGGUUCUAAAGACCCCCGGGUGCUGGGUGGUGGGCUUUUCCUGACAACUUCCAUAAGUUAUUGGUACCUAAAUUCACACUGCCUAGCAUUGUAAUAGUCUGAUCAACCCUGCUCAGUGUUCUCAUACUUGCCCUAUUACCAGGGAGAGAAACAGAGAGGUGGGUGCCUCCCUAGAGUAUCCACCCACACUGUGUCCUGAAUGCCCCUCCUCAGCUUGUCUCUCGUGGGGACCUGCACCUGCUUUUCCUACUAACUGCUGGCUUGUAUUUAUUCCCCUAAAGCCUGUUCCGUAACCCAGUGUGGUUCUUAGACUUGAGCAAGCCUCAGAAACACCUGGAGGGCUUAUCUCCAGUCCUAAUUCUGUAGGUCUGGGGUGAGGCCUUAUAAUGUGCAUUUUAACAACUUCUCCAGUGUUGCCCAAUGCUGCUGGUGCACACCAAGUGUAGAAAUUGCCUCUGUGCCUGUUGCACAGUAGGUGGAGGUGGCAACUGUAAAAGAGAUCCAGCUAUCCUAAAAACAGAAAAGGUACUGUCUUCAGUGGGACUGCUAGGAUUGGAAGGAAUGUGAGCCUGUAGCUGCUCCUUUGCCCCCAAGAAAGCCAGCUUGCCUUAUGAUGAAGCCAACACAGACUGGGUGCAGCAGCUCACACCUGUAAUCCCAGCACUUUGGGAGGCCAAGGCGGGCAGAUCACCUGAGGUCAGGAGUUUGAGACCAGCCUGGCCAACAUAAUGAAACCCUAGCUCUACUAAAAAAAUAAAAAUAAAAAAAUAAAAAAAAAAUUAGCCAGGCAUGGUGAUGCAUGCCUGUAAUCCCAGCUACUCAGGAUGUUGAGACAGGAGAAUCACUUGAACUGGGAGGUGGCAGUUAGAGUGAGCUGAGAUUGCACACUGCACUCCAGUCUGGGGGACAGAGCAAGGCCUCAUCUCAAAAAAAAAAAAAGUAUGAAGCCAACGUAAUUGAGAGAGAGUGACACAUUCCAGAGAAUAUUUGAGUAGCUGAAUCUAGACAUGUUUUACACUAACUGGAUCUAGCCCCUUUUUAGUGAAAUGAACCCCCAGAAAGUUACCUUCUUUCCCUAAACCCAUCUCAAUAGGUUGCUGUCUGACAAUUCUGAGUCUCGCUGUAGUGGAGAAGACAUUGAAGACACCAGGUUAUAGAAAAACAACAGAGAAAAGAAAAUAGAGGGUCGGGUGUGGUGGCUCACGCCUGUAAUCCCAGCACUUUGGGAGGCUGAGGCAGGCAGAUCACCUGAGGUCAGGAGUUCGAGACCAGCCUGGCCAACAUGGUGAAACCCCGUCUCUACUGAAAAUACAAAAUUAGCCUGGCAUGGUGGAGCACACCUGUAAUCCCAGCUACUUGGGAGGCUGAGGUAGGCGAAUCACUUGAACCCGUGAGGCAGAGGUUGCAGUGAGCCAAGAUCAAGCCACUGCACUCCAGCCUGGGUGAGAGAGCGAGACUCUGUCUCAAAAAAAAAAAAAAAAAAAAAAAAAAGAAAAAGAAAAGAAAAUAGAGAACUUGGGCCAAGUCCCUUCCCAGCUACACCAUGAAGGGACUGGAUUCGCCCCCAAGACUCUGCCUUGUCCAAUCCCUUCAUGGUGCAGCUGGGAGGGAAUUUUGCCUAAGGUCAUACAGCAGUGAGGGGCAGUGCUGGAAUAGGAAUUUGUACCACCUGACUCUUUUAAAGAGACAAAGUCUCAUUUUGUCAUCCAGGCUGGCGUAUAGUGCCAUGUUCAUGGCUCACUGCAGCCUUGAAUUCCCGAGCUCAAGCGAUCCUCCCGCCUCAGUCUCCCAAAUAGCUCAGACUACUGGUGUGUGCCACCAUGCCUGGCUAAUUUAAUUUAAAUUUUUUUUUGUAGAGACGGGGGCUCGCCAUGUUGCCGAGGCUGGUCUCAAAUUCCUGGGCUCAAGCAAUCCUCCUGCCUCAGCCUCCCAAAGUGCUGGAAUUACAGGAGUGAGCCACCAUACCCCAGCCCCUCUUGAUUCUUUAUCAAUGCCCUCUCCUGGACCUCUCAUGGCCUCUUGAGUUUCAGUGUCAAAGUCAUUUCCUCAGCAAUCUCACAUCUGAAGGAUUUGAGUGAGACAGGGCGGCCGGGCAGAGGUGCUCCUCACAUCCCAGAUGCAGCGGCCGGGCAGAGGCGCUCCUCACUUCCCAGACGGGGUGGCUGCCGGGCAGAGGCGCUCCCUCACUUCCCAGACGGGGUGGCCGGGCAGAGGCUCUCCUCACUUUCCAGACGAUCGGCAGCUGGGCAGAGACACUCCUCACAUCCCAGACGAUGGGCGGCAGGGCAGAGGCGCCCCUCACUAACCAGACGGGGCGGCCGGGCAGAGGCGCUCCUCACAUCCCAGACCAUGGGUGGCCAGGCAGAGACGCUCACCACCUCCCAGACGGGGCGGCGGCCGGCCGGGCAGAGGCUGCAAUCCCAGCACCCUGGGAGGCCAAAGCAGGUGGCUGGGAGGCGGAGGCUGCAGCGAGCCAAGACCAGGCCACCGCACUCCAGCCCGGGCAACACUGAGCACCGAGUGAGCGAGACUCCGUCUGCAGUCCCAGCACCUCGGGAGGCCGAGGCGGGCAGAGCACCCGGGGUCAGGAGUUGGAGACCAGCCUGGCCAACAUGGCGAAACCGCGCCUCCAGCCAAAGGACAAAAACCAGGCGGGGGUGGUGGCGCGCGCCGGCAAUCCCAGGCGGCCCGCAGGCCGAGGCAGGAGAAUCACGGGAGCCGGAGGCAGGGAGUGUGCAGCGUGCGGAGUAUACUCCAGUACUCCAGUCCGGGAGAAAAGAGAGAGAGAGAGAGAGAGAGAGAGGAGGUAUGGAAUUUAUAGAAAUGCUAAUUAUUAUAUGUAAUAACAAACUUAAGCCAGAAUUUUCUGGAAUCAUUUGUUGUAAACAACAGUAUUACUAACAAUAUGUUGACAUUCAGUAUGCGUAGAUGAUAUUAAACAGAAUAGCUCUUCCUCAAGAGACAACAAUGAGAAAUGAGACAGGAAUACAAAGUUUGAAAUAGGAGUCAUUUGAGGAAAGUCUUUGUUUUUCCUUUUCUAGUGUCUUUUCUAAUUUUGCCUUUUGUUUUCAUGUUCCUCCUGAGGCUUUCUUUCUCUUUUUUUCCUUAUUUUGUCAAUGUGCUCUCUUUCCUUUGUCUUAGUGAUACUAAAUCUGCCCCCACAAAUCCUAGCAUUUAUUGAAAUCAAACCACAUUUUUUUCUUUUCUGGUAAUCAGAUCCAAAUAGCCCAGAGAAGAGUCACGUUUUUCUCAGAUGUUGAUACAACUACUACCGAACCAGCUCCUGUGACCUAGGGAUCCCUUCUAGAAGAAAGAGGUACUACUCUAAGGCUCACAUCCAGGACUCAUAGUAGGCAACUCAUAAAUCAUAGCCACUACUGUUCUCUGUAACAAAUACCUGCUUCCCACUCCCACCUACAGACUUAUAAAAGUAUCUUUUGGGGAUACCAAGUGCAAUAAAUAACAUGCGUACAGAUAUUUAAAAUACUUUUCAUGGACUGGGUGAGGUGGCUCAUUUUAUCUCUCUGAACUUCCAUUUUAUGAUAUGUAAAAUGGAGAUGAUAAUUUCUACCAUGCAAGUUUGUUAACAUAAUUAAAUGAGAUCAGGCCAGGCACAGUGGCUCAUGCCUGUUAUCCCAGCACUUUGGGAGGCCGAGAUGGGAGGAUCGCUUGAGCCCAGGAGUUCGAGACCAGCCUGGGCAACAUAAUGAGAUUCCGUCUCUACAAAAAAUUAGCCAGGUGUGGUGGUGAGCACUUGAAGUUCCAGCUACUCAGGAGGCUGAGGUGGGAGGAUCACUUGAGCCUGGGAAGUUGAGGCUGCAGAGAGCCGUGAUCAUGCCACUGCACUCCAGCAAGAUCCUGUCUCAAAAAAAUAAAUAAAUAAAAAUAAAAAAUAAAAAUAGUUUUCAUUCAUGAUGUCAUUUAAUUCAGUUGUUUUUUUUCUUUUUUUUUUGAGAUGCAGUUUUGCUCUUGUCGCCCAGGCUGGAGUGCAGUGGCGCAAUCUCAGCUCACUGCAACCUCCGCCUCCUGGGUCCAGGCAAUUCUCCUGCCUCAGCCUCCUGGGUAGCUAGAAUUACAGGCGUGCACCACCACGCCCAGCUAAUUUUUGUAUUUUUAGUAGAGACGGGGCUUCACCAUGUUGGCCAGGCUGUUCUUGAGCUCCUGACCUCAGAUGAUCCACCCGCUUCGGCCUCUCAAAGUGCUGGGAUAACAGGUGUGAGCCACCCUGCCUGGCCUGAUCUCAUUUAAUUAUUUUAACAAACUUGCAUGGUAGAAAUUAUCAUCUCCAUUUUACGUAUCAUAAAAUGGAAGUUCAGAGAGAUAAAAUGACUUUCCCAAGGUUAUUCACCCAGUAAUUCCAGAAUUUAGACUCCAAGUAGGGCCCAAUUCCAUGUUUUGUGGACUUUUUGAUAUAGGAGUUAAAAAGAAAUUAUUUAGGCAGAUAGUAAGGGUGAGGAAGUCCUCGGUAAGGUUUCCCUUUUAAUAAAAAGCAGCCCCCAAAUAAUUUAUUUUCCAACAAAACGCAGCCUAUAAAAUCGAGCUGCAGACAUAAGCAGGCUGGAAGCUUGCAUGGGUGAAUUCUGGCAGCUGUGACAAUAGGAAAAGGCUUUCUCCCUCUUCAAAGCAAAUGUGCAUAAAUAUCCUGUAUCAAAUAAUUCAUCCUAGUGGGAAGUCAUCAACUGCUGAUAAGCCACUCUAUCUAUAGGUGAUUUAUAUUCUAAUCAGAGUAGGCUCUCUAAUUCAGGCUUUUAUCAUUUAUUUGCCUGGGAAAUUCCAAAAGCCUCUAACAAGCCUUCAUACCUCUUCUCUUUUCCUCCUUCAGUCCAUUCUCCAGCCUAUUACCAGUAAUGUUUUCAAGUAUAGAUCUGUUCUUGCCCUUCUCUACUUAAAAGUCUUCAGGCUAGGCACGAUGGCUCAUACCUGUAAUCCCAGCAAUUUGGGAGGCUGCGGUUCGAGACUAGCCUGACCAACAUGGCAAAAGCCCAUUUCUAGUAAAAAUACAAAAAAAUUAGCCGGGCAUGGUGGUGGGUGCCUGUAAUCCCAGCUAGUCAGGAGGCUGAGGCAGGAGAAUUGCUUGAACCCGGCAGGUGGUGGUUUUUCUUUUCUUUUUUCUUUUUUUUUUUUUUUUUUUUUGAGACGGAGUCUCGCUCUGUCACCCAGGCUGGAGUGCAGUGGCGCAAUCUCGGCUCACUGCAAGCUCCGCCUCCCGGGUUCACGCCAUUCUCCUGCCUCAGCCUCUCCGAGUAGCUGGGACUACAGGCGCCCGCCACCA